CUGAAGUUCUCUAUAUAGGAGUGGCAAAAUUGCAUUCAAUGGGGAAGGGUUUUUCAGUGGGAAGAAGAGCGCAGAAACUUAUGCAUGGAGAAUAUUAAAAUUAAUGUAAAUAGAUGAGUUUGGAGGGUGGAGGCAUUGGGAUUUUUUAUUCAGUACUUUCUGCAUAUAAUCAAAAUCUGGAAUGUCUCAUCGUUUGUGUGGAGCUGUUACAAAACAGAAUCCUUAUCAAGGAUAACCUUAUCAAGAGAGGGAUUAUUAGUCUCAGUUCUCCGAGAGCAGAUCCUCUCAAUUUGAAAAUAAACUGCAGAGGGAGCAGUUCACAUCCUCACCAUUCACACUUUGUCUUUUUGUCUUUUUAUUUUAUUGUUUAAUGAAAACAUUAAUAGGACAGGAUCUGCUCUCCAGUUCUCCUAUUUGCCUUCGGGCAUAUUUGCGAGGAUGAGUCUGUUAUUCGUUUGUUCUUUGAAUGUUGUAUUCUUUUAUCUUCUAAGGCUUCAUAAGAAUUUUUUUAAUGGUUUGGGGGUGCUUUAGCUAUGCAUAAUGUUGACAGAAAACACUUGCAAUUUGCAGAUAUGAUGAGUAGCAGGACAUGAGGAAAGGUUUUCGGUAGUAUGGUUUUUAUGCAUCUGUUCAAUAUGGAUAUAUGCGAUGCUUAAGAGUUCAAAUUAUCUGUUUUUACAGUGAUUUUUUAAUCCAUCUACUUGUUUUAAUAAUGUUAGAAAACUGCAGUGGGUUUUAUUAAACUCGAAUCAUGAUGGUUGUUUUCUGAAAGCUGUGAAUUUCAAUAGUUUCAUUUUUAGUUUCUGCAGCCCCCCAUUGUUGGUGAUUCUGUUUAACAUCGUGAUGAUUGUUCUUUUGAAAGCUGUCUUGACUAGGCAUUUGAAUAUAAAAAGCUGUUGCUGGACUACAAUAGGGAGGUUAGGCGGGCUACUCAUGAUACCAUGACCACACUUGUCACUUCUGUUGGGUUAGAACUUGACCUAUUCUAAUGAACAUUUAUUCAUGUUUCUUUCUUGCAUUUGUUACUGUAUAAUUUUAAGUAUUUGAACACUUGGAAAUUUGAUAAGUUUUUGUUGAUUUAUUUUAUGAAUAAAUUUAUUCAUUCUUCCCCUACCAUGGAAGUUUUGCUGAUUCAUGCCUAUGGUUUUCUAUCAAGACAUGCUCACCAAUCAUAAUAUUUGAUGUUUGAACUCAUCCCAUUCAAUUUUCUGAUUGGAAAUAACUUAUAAGUUACCUGCUUCAAUAGCGUAUGAAGAAGCCAAAUAUCUUUUGGAAAUUGGUGUCUACAUUCUAUUCCACCCAAUAAGCAUUAUCCCAGUUUCCACCAGGCUUGGACAUUUUAGUCUACCAAAUAUACAUACAUUAAAGAACUGUUUUUAACAUGUACCUAUUCAACUGGUUUUGAGUGUGAUCAUGAUAUCAUGAGUAUUGUAUGAUAGACUCCCAACGAAGGAUAAUCUUAGGUUGAGAGGUGUAAAUUUAAACUCCUCAUUUCUUUGUGUGGGUGGGGGUGUGGAUGCGAGGAACGUGCUAUACAUAUGUUCUUCAACUGUCCGAUGAUAUCUAUCAUGGUAAGAGUCUUUGAAAGUGGUUGGGAAUCUCAACUGCAUUUAUAGAAGGGGGGGUUGAUCAUAAAUGUUCAAAGGAUUAGUGGUAGGUGACAAGAAAAUACAAGAAAUGUUAGGGGUGAUUUGGUUUGCAAAUAUAUUUGCAACUUGGAAAGCUAGGAACACAGUAGUUUUCAACCAUGAAGGUUUUAAUGGGUGAAAAGUUGUAGAAGAGGCAAAGGUUUUGGCUUGGAGAAUAUUAAAAAAUUGUCAUAAAGGUUUUAUUUUUCCUCUUUUCCAGUGGAUUAAUGAUCCUUUAGCAUGCAUGUAUGGGAGUGUACAGACAAUAAUCAAUGAUCCCUUUUACAGAAAUGGUUGUUAGACUCAAGGGAUGUUCUCAAUAUUUUGGAAUAGAAUGUUUGUUUUCUGCCAUCAAAUGGUUUGCUACAUAUGCUUCACAGUUAAACUGUUUUUGCUAGAAUUGUUGGUCUUCCAAAACUGUUUUUUGCUGUGUUGCUUUUCUGUUUGUGCAGCUUUAAACAGGUCGGUGGUAAAGGAUUUUACUUACUGCAGACCUUGGAGUGAGUUGUUUGAAUGUCCUUCUAUGCCCAUGUAUUAGAAACUGAUGGUUAAUGGCCACCUGGUGAUUUUUCAAGUGCAGGGUUGAAGAAGGGGUGUUAGUGGAGCUGACUGUUUGCAAUUACUCGUCAAAAUUUUGCGCUUUAGUUGCAUCUCAUAAUGUCUUCGCCCUGUUAUCUCGAGUUGGAAGCUUUGCUUCUGCAGCCUGAGUGUUCGUUUGUGGCUUGACGCGAGAUCCUAAGGUGUAUUUGUUUUGAUGUGUUAAUUGUGAACCGAGCUGUUGUAGCGAUUUUGCUAGUUCUCGUCAAGUUUGGUUUCUUCCUUGUUUUUCGGCCGUUUUAGUGUUUUGCCUUUGUGUUGUUGAAUCUGUAUUGAGUGGCUUUCUGUAUCUCUCAUUUGAUUGUAAAGGCCUUGGGUUUGUGCUUAGCCUUUGUAGAAUUGUAGUGUAUAGGAAUUUGUUGUCAUGCCUUCGUUUGGGAUGUUUUGCUGAUCUUCAUUGUAUCAGGUGGUUUUUUUUGGUUUUGUGAAUUUGCACCACUUGUGCAUUAUUCACUUUUAAUAAAAGUUUUUGCUUCUUCAAAAAAACUGGUUUUGAGCAUAUCUUAAUUUUAUUGAAUUAAAAUUAUUUAUGGAUUAAAUAUGUUUUUGGUUUGAAACCUGAUCCUUCUGAAGUAUUAAUAUAGCAUGAAUGAGUGAAUUAAAUUCAUAUAGUCGGAGACCUGUUGUUGACUUCACUUCCCACAACCUUCUCAGGAGAGAUUUAGCUCCAGAUUUAAAGACUUUGAUGGGACCAGGGUGGUUUGCACAAUUUGAUCCAGCUUCUGAAGUUUCUCAGGCAGCAAAAAGGUCUUUGCAGAGAAUACAAUCUAUACGAAGAGUCAUAACAUGGACUUACAGGCUACAGCUACCCUCUUUAGUCUUUACAAGUCCAAUGCCAAUCCACAAACAAGCCUUAUUUUCACUGGGAUCCUUUGAGAUAUCGUGUUAGUUUGUGAUAUCAGCAUAAGGGUGAACCAUCUGGAAAAUUUCUUUUCUUUGAUAUUUGAUAUAUUUCAUUGUGAAUGUAAGCUUUGGAACCAAUAGUAGUUGCCAUAAGUUACGUCAAUAAAAUCCUCUAAUUUUUUUACUUUGAGUUCAUUAUCAUCAUAUCUUAAAUAAUACAU